rnacentral:rRNA from 1 species
GACGAACGCUGGCGGCGUGCUUAACACAUGCAAGUCGAACGGAAAGGCCCUGCUUUUGUGGGGUGCUCGAGUGGCGAACGGGUGAGUAACACGUGAGUAACCUGCCCUUGACUUUGGGAUAACUUCAGGAAACUGGGGCUAAUACCGGAUAGGAGCUCCUGCUGCAUGGUGGGGGUUGGAAAGUUUCGGCGGUUGGGGAUGGACUCGCGGCUUAUCAGCUUGUUGGUGGGGUAGUGGCUUACCAAGGCUUUGACGGGUAGCCGGCCUGAGAGGGUGACCGGCCACAUUGGGACUGAGAUACGGCCCAGACUCCUACGGGAGGCAGCAGUGGGGAAUAUUGCACAAUGGGCGGAAGCCUGAUGCAGCAACGCCGCGUGCGGGAUGACGGCCUUCGGGGUGUAAACCGCUUUCGCCUGUGACGAAGCGUGAGUGGCGGUAAUGGGUAAAGAAGCACCGGCUAACUACGUG